rnacentral:pre_miRNA from 1 species
UUUAUUUUUUCGUUUCCAAUGUUUGAUCAUUUGUUUUAUUUAAAAUUUUUUUGCAAUUAAUAUUUUUAUUAUUACCAGAUGAUAAAAUAUACAUAAUAUUUUAUACGUGACUAAUUUUUUUAGUUUUUUGCACAAAUUUUUUAAAUAAGACGAAAAGUCAAACGUUGAACACAGGAAAAC